GUGGGGAAUCUUGCGCAAUGGGCGAAAGCCUGACGCAGCCAUGCCGCGUGAAUGAUGAAGGUCUUAGGAUUGUAAAAUUCUUUCACCGGGGACGAUAAUGACGGUACCCGGAGAAGAAGCUCCGGCUAACUUCGUGCCAGCAGCCGCGGUAAUACGAAGGGGGCUAGCGUUGCUCGGAAUUACUGGGCGUAAAGGGCGCGUAGACGGACAGCUUAGUCAGAGGUGAAAGCCCAGGGCUCAACCUUGGAAUUGCCUUUGAUACUGGCUGUCUUGAGUUUGGGAGAGGUGAGUGGAACUCCGAGUGUAGAGGUGAAAUUCGUAGAUAUUCGGAAGAACACCAGUGGCGAAGGCGACUCACUGGCCCAAUACUGACGCUGAGGCGCGAAAGCGUGGGGAGCAAACAGGAUUAGAUACCCGGGUAGUCC
rnacentral:rRNA from 1 species